UGGCGUAAGUCGCUAAGCCUCUCGCUCUCUUAGGAUUCUAGGUUUUCUUUUCCGGAGCCGACCAAAGCAUUGCGAUGCAAUCGAACCUGAUAGGUGCGUGGUGUUCUGCUUCUACCAGACUACGUUGCAGAUGUUUCUCUUCCGGGUGGAGUAACUUUGUUUAAAGGAAAAACUGUAACUUCCAUGAGGUUGCUGCUGGCGGAUCUCUUUAUUUUUCUCCAAAUUGUGCCUACAGCUUGAGGUUUCCAACAGUUACUCAAAGUCGAGGAAGCAUUGUUGCUGAUGUAGCGGGAUCUGUAGGUGGAAGGAGGCCUGCUGUUGAAGUAGUAUCUGUGCUUGCAAAUGAGCCUAUGAUGGGGGUUCUUGUUCGAGUAGCACAAGAUCUUCUGUCACAACUCUUGAACAAGUGACAAAAAAAUUAAUUGUUUUAAGUGCAAAUAAUAAAAUAUCAACAAAAUUAACAUCCAAUAUAGCAGAUGUAAGCUGGAGUUGGGGCUGGUUUUGUAGUUGUGGAUUACCCUAACCUAGAACAGUUUAAGAUGGGGCCAAUAGCAUUUACAUGCAAGCAGGAUCUUCUGGAAGCUGAGAGUUGGAUUAGAGAAGUUAAGAAGGCUUUUGAUACUCUAAAAGUGCCUGAUUAUCAGAAGGUCAUUUUUAUAGCUUUCAAACUUGAAGUUCAUUUUUAUGUAUGGUGAACCUUUAGGUGUUAGGCAUUUGGAGUUGAGGUAAACAGGAUUUGGGAACAAUUUUAAGGUUUUGUUAUCUUAGGAAUAUUUCCCACUUUAGCGGCAUAUGGGGCAUGUGUUUACCUCCAUUUUGAUGAGAUUAUAGUGGUUUAACAUAUCGUUAAAUUGAAUUGUGUGGUUAAGUUUGUACCAGUUCGUGGGAGAUAAAGAUCACAAUAUUAAAUAUUUGAGUAGAGAUAGAUGGGAGAUCUAAUUGGCUAUAAUAUGACAAGAGUUACCAAAUUUUUAUGUUCUGGUUGGUAAGGUUUUACACUACAGAGAAUUGAAGAUCCAGUCAUUAAAAAUAUAAUAAAGUGUGAAAGCCACACGCAAUGUUUUUUGAAGUAUUAAAAUCUUAGAAGAAUAAUUGGAAGUUCAAACCUGAUGGGAUCAAAAGAGUCUUAAAAAAAUCAAAAGAGAACACUUAAGAGAAACAGGACACGACUCAAUCCAAAAAGAAGUGAACAAACUCGAUGUAAGAAACUAAAGAUGUUUUAGAAGAAAGGAAGAAAAAAAAAGAAGAAACUAAAAGUAAUCAAAAUUUAAAAACUAAAAAAAGAAUCCCCUCAAAACAACCAACUAGUAGUCACCUCACAUGUAACGAUAAAACAGGAAAUUAGAGUGCUCUUAUGAACAUGCAAACCAGUGGUCCACCACAGCAAUCCCGAUUCAACACCCGUUGAAACUCCUUGAGCAAAUACCAACAAACCAGCCAACAACAACACCUCUUACACCUUUUGUAGAGAAGAAAUAUACAAUGGGGUGGAAACUUGUGGAUAAAAGAAAUAGAUAGAAGUCUUAGAAGAAGUAAGUGGGGAAGAAGAAGCUCUCAAGCUUUGGAAGAAAACCCUCAGGUUUUUGGAGACAAAAUAAGGUUCAACAACCUCCCAACAACAGCCAACAUCUCAUUUAAAUAGGGGAAAUGAGCUCAAAAGACACCCAAAGCAGCCGCCCCAUUCUGCCAACCAGAACAUAAGAAAACCCAAGAGAAAACGCCUGGUAGAACCACAAAUCGAGUAGCCAGGCCCCCUCAAAAGACCAUCCAGAAUCGAACAACCAUGAGUCGAACAAACACCAAGAAAAGAGCAUGGCAGCUCAGGAACCAAGCAACCAAUUGCUAAAAAAAAAGCCACCAAUUAGCCACAACUCUCCAAACACCAAAUACUAAACAGCCAAAGAAACAUGGGUCUAGCCCAUUUAUAUGAAUUUCAGCCCAACAAUAAAUACCCGAUGAAAUGUUUUUUUUUUUUGCCUACAUCAAAACCCCCUAUAUCAGAAUAAAGGGAUGUCUAACAAUUCGGGUGUGAAGUGCUUCAUGAGUAAUGAGCUAGGUCAUUAGUUUAAGUCAAUGCCAAUGAAAUGCAUGCCUAUGUUAUAAUUGUUACUAAUUAGGGCAUGUGAUUAGAGAUUCUUCUAGUAGAGUUGAUCAGAUGAAACAAUGUAAGAGCCCUAGUAGAAGCGACGCAAACAACUGUAUGGUGUUAUGCUUCAAUUUCAUUUAUUGAGGUGCUUUUUUGUUGAUUAUCUUAUAAUUAGUGUAUACUUAUAGAUGAUGGAUUUGUUCAUUCCUUUAGAUCUUGUUUUUUUCUAUGUUUGGGUAUCAUGUAUGAAUUAUUAGUACAUUUUUUACUUUAUCUGCAUUUGAUGGUCUUUCUAUAUCAAACAAUUGAAUAAUGAAGAUAGGUUUAGUCUAGAUGGAGACCAUGGUUACUCAUGGGUUUAAAGAUUCCUUAGAUUGAUGAUUUUGAUGUCAUCUUGGUAUUAAUUGAUUCUCCAUUUAUCAUGUCUAGAUUGAUUUCUUUUGGAAGGUCGUUGCCUUUGAUCCUCUUGGAGAAUCUUGUCUAGAUUGAUUUCUUUUGGAAGGUCGUUGCCUUUUAUCCUCUUGGAGAGUCUAUUGUUUAGUAUAGUUAUUGAAAGAUAUGUUUUAUAUCAUUUUCUUCCUAAUAGGAAUAUUGAUUAGCUCUCCUUCAUAAUUGAAGUUUAGGGAAGUAAAUCUAUAUUUUCGAAAUAUUUUUUCAUAUUUUGUGAUAUAUUUCUAGAAGUUCUAGCUAUUGAAACCAAUGCUUUUAAAAUCGGGUUGGACCGGCCAGUUGAACCGCGAACUGGCCGGCCGGCCGGUUACGGCUCAUGUUAAAACCGGUUUCGCACAAAACCGGUAUUGAACCGCUCGAACCGGCGGUUCGACUGCCCAAUCGUCUAACUGGUCCCGGUUUCUGAUAACUGGCCCGCCGUAUAAUUCAUUCGGAUGUAUCGCGUUCAAGUCCAGUUCGGCAGAUCUUCUUCCCCGACGUCUCCUACUCGUUUGCGAAGCCAAUACCGCUUUUGCAGUUAGGGGCAUUGCCGACGAAGUUCCCCGGCGCCAGUCGUCGUCUCUACGCCAUGAGGUGAACGCUUGGUUCAUGUUGGUGAUGAGGUCGAGCCCGACCUUCAUGCCGGGGAGGUAGUUAUCGCACUGGUGAUCAAAGCUCUGCCACGCCAUGACGCCGGAGUUGUUGAGCAAAAGGUUGCCGCUGUCGAACAGCUCCACUGUGGUUCUAUUCGACUGCAAGGAGGUAACUUUUGAUGAGUAAAGUGGAGGCGGAGAAGUCGUGGUACCAAAUACCGACGUAGCUGGUGGCAGAGUUGUGGGAGAAAAGAAAUAGAGCUCAAAGAUGCCGCUGUAGGAGACGAGAGUUGCGGAGGAUGAAAGAUGUGAAGAUGUCGGAGAAAGCUAGGAAGAUGUCAGAGAAAGCUUUUGUUGCUGGGAGGAAAAAUACGGAUAGUGGCGUGUACAGAACUCAACAUCUACCUUUUAUACUAUUUUUUUGUAAUCUUAUAUGAGAAUAGUCAAAACACAAUCUCAAAUGAAGACCAAAUAUUGCCAAUUAUAAACUUAUAGAUUUUAGAUCCUCUGAUAGAAUUAAAUAUUGGGUUAUUUUUUAAAUAUAAUAAUUAUUUAUUAUGUCAUCCGGUUCGACCCCGAUCGAACCAUCAAACUGCCAACCUCUUCUUUUUCCGGUUCAUUGUCCGGUCUGGUUUUCAAAGCCUUGAUUGAAACCAUUAUUUUUAAGCCAUGUCAUAGAAUGGGGAACCGUUGAGUUUAAAAAAAUAAAUCAAGUACAAGAAUGGAUAUAUAAGGGUUUUUUAUUAGGUCUAGCGUUCCCCUUGUGAAGCAUUUGCGCUAUUUGUAAAGAAGGAUAGUCUUAUGAGGCUUUUCUAGAUUGUAGACAAUUGAAGUAGUUGACUAUGAAGAAUAAAUAUACUUAUGCCAUAUUAAUGGCAUGUUUGAUCAAUAUUAAGGAACUUAGGUGCAUGAGAUUAGCUUAUCAUAAGCAAAUGGCAAGAAAGUGGAUAUUCCCAAGAAAACUUCUCACGCUAUUGAAUUUUUGGUGAUGCCAUUAGAUAUAAUCAAUGCCCUAAGUUUUAUAUAUUUGAUGAAUCAAUUGUUUAAGCAUUAAAUCUUUUUUUUUAAUUGAUCUUGAUAUAUUUUAAAGGCCAAAUAAAAUACGAGCAACAUCUUAAGAGUUGUUUUGGAGAUUCUAUGAUAAAAAGAAUUUUAUGCCAAGUUGAAUAAGGGUCAUUUUUUUGCACAAGGAGGUGAUAUAUUUUGGGACAUUACUUGUAGAAUUGCAUUUUAGUGGAUACCAAGAAGUUUAAAGUUCUUAACUAGAAGAGGCCUACUUGUGGAUGAAGUAAAAAGUUUUAUUGGAUUAGCAGACUAUUAUGUGAUGUUUGCUGAAGGUUUUGUAGAAUUGCAUUACCAUUGGACCUAGUUGACUCUUAAGAACUUAAAGUUCAAUCAGAAAUUGGCUAAUGUGAAGCUCUUUGAGGAGCUUAAUAAUAGAUUGAUCGGUACACCAAUGCUUAUUAUUCCUUUUAGCACAGAUGGGCUUAAGGCGUAUAGUGAUGGUUCUAUCCAAUGUUUUGGUUGUGCCAAUGCAGCAUGGAGGUUGGUGGUUUACGCUUUAAGGAAAUUGAAAAGUUGGUUGCUAUUAUAUUUGCUUUGAAGAUUUUGCAUACUCAAGGUGUAAUUGUAUGGAGCUUUAGUCUAUCAUGUGAUGUGUACUUAAUAUUACUAGCAUUCUUCUAUUAUUUUUGUGAAGUAUUAUUGAUCUAUUUAUAAGGAAUUUGAUGGUAUCCCAUGGUUUAUGCUAAAAGAGCAUGAAAAGAAUUAUUCUACUAUUGUAUUGUUUGAAGUUGUUUGUUGUUAUAUUUUCUUUAAAUAUUUUUCAUACACAUGAAGUAAUUUUAUGAAGAUUUGUUCUCUCAUUUUAAACAUGGUACGUUAUGUGUGUUGAAAACCUUAAAUGAAGAGAUCUUGAAUUCCUACCUUCCUCCCUCACCGCCAGUCCCCCUUGGCAGCUGUGCCUGCACCGCAACCUUGCUUCCACCGUCGGACCGAGAGCCAAUAGCUCUCUGGCUACGCACCUCCACGACAACCUUGCUUUGCAUUGUCGGACCGAGAGCCAGUAACUUUUUGGAUGCUUCCAUCGAGAGAGAGAAGGGGAAAAUAGAGGGAGAGAGGAAGAGAGGACACGGUUUGAAAAAAAAAAGGAAUUUAUUUUUAUUCAUCUUGAAACAAUACAAGCCACUCCUAUUUAUACUAACUUUGCUAAUGCGCCCAUUGUUUCCAUUGUGCCUGCUUUGAUGCUGAGAACAUUAUUUUUAAAUGAUGUUGUACUUGGGAAAAAUGUUAAGCACAAAUUCUUGAUCAAAUGGAAAGACACUUCCAUCAUCUGAUACAUAGAUAACAAAAGCAUAAGUGCUAAAGCUUAUAGGUGAUCUCUUAUAUGAUAAUAUUGCUACUAACUCUAGAGCGAAGUUCCUUUUUGCUCACGAGAGUUAAUGAAGUAUUGUUUGUGUUAGAUGAUGAUUCAACUAAAUCAUUAAACUUAAAUAUAGUUUCUCAUAUGUGAAUAUUAAGUCAAACCAGGCUAUCUAGGAGUUGAAUCCAACUAGUUUUUAAGUUUUUCUUAACCUUUCGUCAAUUUAGGUCAAAUUUAUAGUUUUUUUAAUUGUUUUUGUUAUUAGAUUAAAUUGAAUUAUAGGAAUACUAUCAUCUUUUUUUUAGGGUUUGCUUUCAUUUGUUAAUGAGAUGAAUAUAUUAUUUGAUGAGGCCAAUGGUAGUUGGUUGUUUCUACCUUCAUUAAUCCAACUUUUGUAUGCGGAUUGUGCUAAGUUUUGUACACCGAGUUUAACUCCUCUCUUUCUCAUUCAAUAGAUUUAUUAUUUGUUCUUCUCUUUUCUAGGACUAUCGAGCAUCAUAUUUAUUUGAUAAGUUCUAUAAAGUGCCUCAGACACAAUCCUCCUUGUAAAAUUCUUAUAACCCUUUCAUAAAACUCUUUAUUAAUGAUCAUAUGAUCAUAACUCCUAUUUUUAAGAAUUACGAUUUAAUUCGUUAUCAGGAGCUUUGAACCCUCAAGAUUUGUUUAUUUAUUUUUCUACAGGAGGUUUUCUUCUACAACAGCUAAUUCUAUUGAGUCUGUUAUUUAUGUUGCACCUGCUUACUUUGAUGUUGAGAACAUCAUUUUAGGUGAAGUUGUGCUUGGGAGAAUGGUUGAGCAUAAGUUAUUGAUCAAAUGAAAGGCUCCUCCAUUAAAUGAUAUAGAUGGAACAAAAGUAAAAUUGCUAAAGCUGACAGUCUUUCGCUUAAUUGGAUGAUUAUAUUAUUGCUAACUCUCUAUAGUGGGGUUCCUCGAGCUAAGGGGGAGUUUAUGUAGUUUUGUUUUUGUUAGAUGAUCAUUCAACCAAAUUAGUAAACUUAAAUCUAAUUUCUAAAAUGUGAAUAAGAAGUGAAAUUAGGUUUUAAAAGAGCCUAAUCAUUGCAAUUUUAAACUUUUCUAGAACUUUCAUUGAUUUAGACCAAAUUUUGUAGUAUUUCUUUUCAAUUUUUAUUAUUAGAUUAGUUCUUAAAGUAUUAGAAAAAUCACAUCAUUAUUUUAGGGUUUGUUUUCUUUUAUAAAGAUGACUAAUUGCUUUGGAUUACUGAUGAAUAAAUUAUUUGAUGAGGCCAUUGGUUGUUGGUAGCUUCUUCCUUCAUUAAUCCAAGUUGUGUAUGCGGAAUGCUCUAAGCUGUGUACUUGGAGUUUGAUUCCUUUUCUCUCUUUCUCGUUCAAGUUAUUUAUAAUAUUUCAAAAUUUAUGUUUAGUUUUCUCUUUUCAAGGACUAUCGAGAUAUUUGUUCAAUAAACUCUAUGAAGUACUUUAAACCCUAGCUCCUUGUCUAGUUGGUCAAGGAAGAACAUCAUUGAUUCCAUUGUGCCUGCUUUGAUGCUGAGAACAUCAUUUUAAAUGAUGUUGUACUCCGUAAAAAUGUUGAGCACAAAUUCUUGAUUAAAUGGAAAGACACCUCCAUCAUUUGAUACAUAGAUAACAAAAGUAGAAGUGCUAAAGCUUUUAGGUGAUCUAUUGUAUGGUAAUAUUGCUACUAAAUCUAAAGCGAAGUAUAUUUUGUGUUAGAUGAUAAUUCAACAAAAUUAUUAAACUCAAAUCUAGUUUCUCAAAUAUGAAUAUUAAGUCAAACCAGGCUAUUGAAGAGUUGAAUCCAACUAGUUUUUAAGUCUUUCUUAACCUUUCGUUAGUUUAGGUCAUAUAUAUAUGUGUGUUAUUAGAUUAAAUUCGAAGUAUAUGAAUACUCUCAUCCUUGUUUUAGGGGUUGUUUUAGUUUGUUAAUGAGAUGAAUACCUUAUAUGAGGAGGCCAAUGGUAGUUGCCUAGUUGGUUGUUUCUUCCUUCGUUGAUCCAACUUUUGUAUGCGGAUUUGCUAAAUUUUAUACGCUUAGUUUAGCUCCUCUUCUCUCUUUUUCAUUCAAUAGAUUUAUUAUAUUUCAACUUUGUGUUUGAUCUUCUCUUUUCAAGGACCAACGACCAUCAGAUUUUUUUAAGAUGUUCUGUAAAGUGCCUCAAAUGCAGCCCUCCUUGUCAAAUUCCUAUAGCCAAUUCAUAAAACUCUUUAUUAAUGAUCGUAUGAUCAUAAUUCCUAUUCUUAUGAAUUAAGAUUUGAUGCAUUAUCAUGAGCUUUGGAGCCUCAAGAUUUGCUUAUUUA